rnacentral:miRNA from 1 species
GCACUCCCAGCCCAUGCUCUCU